rnacentral:sRNA from 1 species
UUUUCAAUAACCUUCUU